rnacentral:lncRNA from 1 species
GAGAGAAAUCAUGUGAGCUUGAGAAGGAAUCAGAUUCUGCAUAUAUUUCCAAGUUAACAUGAACAAGAUUUUCUGAAAGACUGCUAUGGAGUCUGAGAAAAAAUGUCAAAGGUAGUGCCAAAAUUGUCACUUAAAGAACUGCAGGAAUGGAGUUGGCAUUUACAGAAUUUGGAAGAGAAGCAGGUUUAGUGAUAAAGACCAGAAGCACAGAGCUAAGCAUAUUAAAUAUUGAGGACAUGAAGAGGAAAGAACUGACAGAGGAGGUGAAGAAAGGUGAUCAGGAAGAGCCAUCAAAGUGUUAUCCUGGAAUUCAAGUGAAGACAGUGUUUCAAAGUGGAAAUGAACAGUGUCCUGUAACCCUCAGAGUGAGACUAGAGUCAGAAUGCAAGCUUUUCUCAUUUGAAAUCUAUUGAAUAAACAUCAGUAAAAGAAGCAAUCCAAGUUCUCAUGCCAAAUAUGUAUAUGUCCAAGACCAGGAUUUCUUCAUGUCUGAAUGUGGAUAUGGAGCCUAGAGUACUAGCAGGGUAAGUCCAGGUCCUUACCUCCACCUAAAAGUUCUGCCAUCAAGGAACAUCUGCUCAUUAUCUUCUGUCCACACAUCAAAUGACUUCAAUGUGAUCCCUGGAUGUUCUCCAAAGAGCUGAAAGGAAAUAAAUA